AGUGAACGCUGGCGGCGUGCCUAACACAUGCAAGUCGAACGAUGAAGAGCAGCUUGUUGCUCGGAUUAGUGGCGCACGGGUGAGUAAUGCAUAGGUAAUGUGCCCCUUAGUCUGGGAUAGCCACUGGAAACGGUGAUUAAUACUAGAUACUCCUUCUUGUCUUAAGGCAAGUCGGGAAAGUUUUUCGCUAAGGGAUCAGCCUAUGUCCUAUCAGGUAGUUGGUGAGGUAACGGCUCACCAAGCCAAUGACGGGUAUCUGGUUUGAGAGGAUGACCAGACACACUGGAACUGAGACACGGUCCAGACUCCUACGGGAGGCAGCAGUGAGGAAUAUUGCACAAUGGAGGAAACUCUGAUGCAGCAACGCCGCGUGGAGGAUGACGCAUUUCGGUGUGUAAACUCCUUUCAAGAGGGAAGAUUAUGACGGUACCUCUUGAAUAAGCACCGGCUAACUCCGUGCCAGCCGCCGCCGUAA
rnacentral:rRNA from 1 species